rnacentral:misc_RNA from 1 species
GUGAGGUCGUCGUUGGCCUUGAUCACUUGGUGAAGGUCCGACUCCAUGAGCUCAAAGACUACAUAUAUGUCCCUGAAUUCCCUCCUGGAAGGAGGGAGCAUAAUGUGCUUGAUCUCGACGAUGUCCGGGUGAUGGAGCAAGCGAAGUAACUUUAUCUCUCUCAGGAUGCGGGUGGCAUCUGAAACAUGCUCGAACACGUCAUUUAUCUUCUUGAUGGCCACCCG